CUGUCUGUCUGUCUGUCUACACCCCUGUACAGGUUAUGUCUUGUAGGAUGUAACUGUUACUUUUAGCAGUGAUGACCUGGACUAGGUGAAGAGCACAGGCAGCUGUGCAGAGAUUGGCAACCAUCUACAUUUUGCACACGUGAGUGUGUUUGUGCGUGUAAAUGAGAGAGAGAGUGACAGACAGACGGGAAAGAGUGUUUUUACUGGGGAGCCCUGCUGACCAGCACAGGUGUUCCUCAUUCUCCUUAAUUGGGUCGGUUACUGUGUGCUGUCUGCAAGAAAAAAAAUCUUACACAUAAGGUUGUGUGAGUGUGUGCGUGCGUGCGUGCGUGCGUGCGCGCGCGUGCGUGUGCAUGCAUGCUUGUGUGAAUAUUAAAACAAAAGGGCAUCCUUGACUGGGAAGGUCACUUUUGCCAGGCUUUACUUUUGCAAAUGCAACUUUAAGAAGACAUACAGCAAUGUACCAAAGCUUCAGAUGAAUCAGGGUGCAGAAGUCGUAUCAAUAAAUCAAAGGCUUGGGCCAGAUAUUGGGAUCAGUGGAGCUCAAAGGCAGAUAACCAACAGUCAGGAGGGCAACAUGUAGAGGACUGGGCCAUUCAAACAGCCUCUCAAAGACAUGAUUUGACACUCCAUGUAGAGA